CAGAUCAAACAAAGUCCACAUGGGACCAUGAUCCACUAGCAGAAAUACACAAGAGAACUAAUCAAAAGGUUUAAAAUGGAGGACGCUAAAGAAAUAGAUACACAUAUUGCAACUGCCACUAAAUUAGAUAUUGAUGAACCUGGUUCAUCAGUUCAUCAAAAGUUGUAUAGGGGUAUGAUUGGUUCACUCUUGUAUCAUACUACUAGCAGACCUGACAUUGUUUUCAGUGUAGGGCUUUGUGCUCAUUUCUAGGGAAAUCCAAAGGAGUCACAUUUGACAGCUGUCAAAAGGAAUUUGAGAUAUCUGAAAGGCACCACUGAUUUGUGUCUUUGAUAUCCCAAAUGUAGUAACUUUUAUCUAGUAGGAUUUACUGAUGCUGAUUAUGCAGGUUACUUGGUGGACAGGAAGAGUACUUCAGGUAUGGCACAUUUCCUGGGGUCACGUCUAGUGUCAUGAGCUACCAAAAAGGAAAACUCAGUAGCCCUAUCUACUGCUGAAGCUGAAUAUGUUGUGGCUGCUUCUUGUUGCGCUCAAUUGCUAUGGAUCAAACAACAACUGAAGUGGGAUGUAUUCCUAUUUUUUUGUGAUAACACUAGUGCUAAAGUAUGACAAGGAAACAUGCUCAUCAUAAAAGGACAAAGCACAUAGAUGUUAGACACCACUUCCUGAGAGAUAACUAUGAGAAAAGGUUAAUCUCCAUAGAAUUUUGUGCUACUGAUAAACAAAUAGCUUACAUCUUCACUAAAGCACUAAGUAGAGAAAACUUUGAAAGGAAAAAGUUAGAAUUAGAGAUGAUUAAGUUCACCUAAAAGGUCCAGUUCAGAAUGCACAAUGAAAAAAAUAUGAAAAAUGAAUUUUUUUAGUUAGGAGUUCUUAAUUCGCAUGUUAGAAUUAGGGAUGAUUAAGAUCACCUAAUUAGGUCCAGUUCAGAAUGCAAUGAAAAAAAGGGAAAUUUUUAUUUUGUUUGGUUAGAAGUUCUGACUUUAAGUGAAUAUCUAGACUAAUUCUUACUCACUCUCAAACUCUAAUCAGUAUACUCUUGUGACAUGUUUCUUUUAAUUCAUUGAUAUCUUACAAAGUUUUUUUCUAUUUGGAUACAUGAGGCACACUCAAGAGAAGUUCUACUUGAAGAACCUGGUUCAUCAAGAUCAUGUUCAUAAGAGAAGGUCAGGUAUAUUUCUAUACUUUGCACAAUUAGAAAAUUAAAUAUUCAAUUAUGAGCAGAAGUCCUAUUCUAACCAAACUCCCAAAAUAUAACCGCUAAGCAUUGGACCAGUUUUCCUCUCCUAGAAUUCUAAAGAAUAACGAGAUUUUUUUAAAAAACCAGUGAAAAUUAAAGAUCGGAGCCUUAAUGGGAUUAAAAUCCUGAUUGACCAGUGCAAAAGGAUGCAGUUACUAAUCAUGCCCCUUUUAAACCACUCCCCACACUCCUAAUUUGGUCCAUACCCACCGUUAAGUUCAGAAACCCUUCUUCUCCAAAAUAACCAAAAAUCCCCAAAAUCUUUAUAAAUCCUUCACCAUGUCUAACCCUCAAGAAAAUCCAGGGACACCCUUCUCGGAAUCUACCAAUACGUCUUCGUCUGCACCCCCUAGCAACAAC
rnacentral:lncRNA from 1 species